rnacentral:rRNA from 1 species
AGCAGCCGCGGUAAUUCCAGCUCCAAUAGCGUAUAUUAAAGUUGUUGCAGUUAAAAAGCUCGUAGUUGAAUUUCGGGGUCAGUAGGUUGGUCGUGCCACUGGUAUGCACUGGUCUCACUGAUUCCUCCUUCCUGAUGAACCGUAAUGCCAUUAAUUUGGUGUUGCGGGGAAUCUGGACUGUUACUUUGAAAAAAUUAGAGUGUUUAAAGCAGGCUAACGCUUGAAUGCAUUAGCAUGGAAUAAUGAAAUAGGACGUUCGAUCUUAUUUUGUUGGUUUUCUAAGAUUGACGUAAUGAUUAAUAGGGAUAGUUGGGGGCAUUAGUAUUCAAUUGUCAGAGGUGAAAUUCUUGGAUUUAUUGAAGACUAACUACUGCGAAAGCAUUUGCCAAGGAUGUUUUCAUUAAUCAAGAACGAAAGUUAGGGGAUCGAAGACGAUCAGAUACCGUCGUAGUCUUAACCAUAGACUAUGCCGACUAGGGAUCGGAUGAUGUUAAUUUUUUAAUGA